rnacentral:rRNA from 1 species
GAUGAACGCUGGCGGCGUGCUUAACGCAUGCAAGUCGAACGGAAAGGCCAGUGCUUGCACUGGUGCUCGAGUGGCGAACGGGUGAGUAACACGUGGGUGAUCUGCCCUGCACUUUGGGAUAAGCCUGGGAAACUGGGUCUAAUACCAGAUAGGACCAUGCUUUGGAUGGUGUGGUGGAAAGUUUUUUCGGUGUGGGAUGAGCUUGCGGCCUAUCAGCUUGUUGGUGGGGUAAUGGCCUACCAAGGCGUCGACGGGUAGCCGGCCUGAGAGGGUGUACGGCCACAUUGGGACUGAGAUACGGCCCAGACUCCUACGGGAGGCAGCAGUGGGGAAUAUUGCACAAUGGGCGCAAGCCUGAUGCAGCGACGCCGCGUGGGGGAUGACGGCCUUCGGGUUGUAAACUCCUUUCGCAACUGACGAAGCUUUUUGUGACGGUAGGUUGAGAAGAAGCACCGGCUAACUACGUG